ensembl:lncRNA
CAGUUAUAUUUAUAAUUUGCUUUCUUAAGUACUGAUAUAUUUGAUGCAAUUAGGCAACAACAAGUGCUUCCCAUUAAGUACUUAAUGCUGUUCCUAUUCUUUCUCAUGGCCAUUUGAAAUGACUGCCUGGUACCAAACACUGAAUAAAACAGCCUGAAAUACAUAAGGUAGAACAACACUCAGGAAUUAUGCUCAAAGAGUCUUAUGCACCUUUUGGGCUGUCGCUGAAACAGGGUCUCCAAGGAAAAUCUCUUUGCAUCACAAAAGCAUCUUGUGGUUUAACUUCCUUCUACUUGACUUACAGUUUCAACCUCAUAAACUCAGCAGGAGCUGUAUUAUUGGUAAGGCAGAGGUGCUGUAGGAGAGCUGUGUACUUAAAAGCUUGCACAGACCUACCCACAACUACUCCUUGGUUCCUGUUAGCAGUCUUAACUUCUUCCUUUCUAAAGCAACAAGAUAAGAGAAGUUCGAAGCAUUUAUGAUGCAUGAAGAACCUUGCUGAAGACGUGGAAGUCUCCAGCAGAAUGUCUGUUCCAUGGGGCUCUCUCACCUCGCACCCCAUCAGCUGGCAUGAACAUGGGACUGCUUCUCCAACGUGCCUGAGGGGAUGGAGCACUGCCAGGGAUAAAGGAGCAGGAGCAUGGACGUGACCAUGGACAUGCCAGGACCCUAAGCAGAAGGCUCCUGCUAGAAGGGGGGAAGAAAUGGACAAAUGUAUCCAAAAGCAGCAGGAAGCAGGCUGUACUGAGAGAAGACUGGCACCCCUGAAGCAUGACAUUAUUGUAAGUAGAAGGAUAAUAUGCAAUCUUGUUAUUCCUACUCUUGACUAUUUGUAAAGUAUAAUUGCUCUUUAUCAAAGUGCUGCACCAUAAAGGCAGAGAAGAUAUACUGGAAAAUAUCUGCGUUCACAGUUGCUGCCUACCAUGUUGGCUUUCCAAAUGUAGCAAAACAGUGCCUGGUCCCUACAGACUUGGUGGAGUCCUAGCAACAGACUACCUGAAAGAACAACUUCUACCUUCUCCUUACCAGCACCCAAAAAUAAUGAUCCUCAAGCCAAGUUGGUUGCAAGUCAGGCACAAACAGUUCUACCUUUGGAUGUUGUAAGCCUUGUAUUUUUAUCUGAGAUGGGUGUUAAAAAGGGCUCUUGAGAGAAGAGCGGGGUAAUGAUCUGUGGAACAAUAUCGUCACUUCCUGGCACUGAAAUAUUAACCAUAGUACUUCUUAUCUGCAGUUCAUGGUAUUUUGGUUGAUUCUGUCUCAAAGAUGAUACAUGCCCAGCUCCUCUCAAACCCUCCAAUCAUUGCAAUGUUUAGUGGUCCUACUGACAGGGUGCCACAAGUAAAGGGGAAUUUCCUGACAAUGAGAAAAGCUUCCUUAGACCGUGUGCAAUUUAUUGGUCUAGUCGAGUCAAUUACAGCCAUGACUCACCUUCCAAAAUAUGCAACUUGGCUUUCAUUAUUUGCACUCACACAGAGCCAAGUGGUUGGACCCAUCCUUAAGUUUCAGUCAUCUCCUUGUGCUGCACUUGAGCAAGUGAUAGCUCAGUGAUUGCAGAAUGGAAAGGAGAAAGAUUUCUUUAAUUACUUUUCUGUACCUCAGUGUCUUGGAUUCUAUCUGUGUUGAGUUGAAAAUGUUUCCCACAAACUGUGCAAAUAUGUGUCUUUUUGCAGCUACUCUUUGACAUUUGUGAAGAUAGUUCCCUUUUCCCAUCUCUAACUUGACAGUCAUUCAAGAGCAAAGUAACAAGGGAGAACAAGAUAGAGGAUCAGAAAAGAAAAGAAAUGAGAAGAAAACAAAGGGAAGGAUGAAACAUGAAUACCUUUGGAAAAAAAAAAAAGAUAACGAAAUAUUGUUUACAAAGAAAGAGAAGGAAGAGAGGAAGGGAAAAGAAUGGAAGGAAAGGAAGGGAGGGAGGAGAGAGAAGGGAAAGAGAAGGAAAGGAGGAGAAGAAGGAAGAGCUGUUUUGAACCAACUUUUUUGCUUCUCCCCAUCAUGGUCUAUAUCCAUCUCUUUUCUUCUGUUGCUAUGCCUCCCUGACUUGCAGAUGCUUAGCUUUCUGACCCAUAGGCUUCGCUUGCCUCUUUCUAUUGAAUGCAAAUUUGUAAAAGGUGUUCAAGAUGUACAUGUCCAUGCUCACCAUGCAAAGCAUGGCUAAAACAAGCUGCAGUGUGACGAUAUACAUGAAGCACAGGAGACCUUCAGGAAAUGUCUGCUGAUCUCUCCCGCAGCUCCCCCGUGGAGACUUUGCCAUGGUUACUUACUGCUUGCAGGUGUCACCAGGCUCCCUUGCUCUGCACUCUCACUGAAGUCAAGGAGAUCUGAAUCCAAGAGCAGAAGUUGGCCUUUAAGAUUCACUUCCAUGUAGCAUAUGUUGCAACACUGUACACCAAGAAAUGUAACCAAGAAGAACAGUGGUAUUUACAGUAUGCUAAAAUUUAACUAUUGCUGUGGCCUUCAGAAGCCUGUGGGACACAUCCAAAAGACUGCCCAUGUUUUACUUCAUCUGACACAAGGUAGGACUCCUACUGUUGUGGAAUGAAUGGCGCAGUAUGAAUAAGGAUUCAGGUUCUGGUCCCGUGCCCGUUAUCAAGCUGAGAUGGCCAAUGGUGACUAAUUUCCUUAAUGAGCAGGGUGGGAGAGGUAAAAUUGAGUGGAGUGAGGGACAGUGAUCUAUUUUUUUUUUUUUUUUUUUUGGUAGCAGUGUCAGAGAAUAGGCUGUUAUUUUAAGAGACAUUUAGCAAUUAGCAAUGAGUUUUCUCUCGGACAUCCAGAGUGAUGGAGUUGAAGGUGAUACAGUGAAUAGAGGAGAUUGCUACAAAAACAUGUGGCUCUGUCACACUUUUUUAAAAGAUAUUGCCUGUAAAAUUACUAAUGCAGCAAACAACAUAGAGCACAUCUGAUGAAUUUUAUAGGACAGCAAUAUACUGUCAGUUAUCUCCAUCAUUCCUCUGCUUGAAAAUUCCUUCUUUUAGAAGGCUGACACUCCCAGAACGGUGAGGUAAUCCUCAUCAAAGAGAGGAAGUGUGAGAGUCUGCUCAAAUCUGGUUGUGUGUCAGUCUGCAUUUCCAGGUGAGUGAUACUACCCACAUGCCUGUGUCUAUACAUUCCCCUGCCUGUAAUGCAAUUUUGCAGUAGCAGGAUUAGAACAGAUUGCUGGCAUUAUGGCAGCAAGGAUAUUGUUGGGAGUAGCUUGGCAACACUUGUAGGUGUUGUGACGCUGACUCUUUGCUCAAGGGCAAGGACAGAGAGGUGGUGCUGGAUACAGAACGGUAAGAAAAAUGAUGUCAGGAAAGUUCAGAAGAUGAAAGUAGUGACAGUAAAUAAGUCUGAAAUAAUUUUAGGUUUACAUACUUUAAGUCCUCUGUGACUGAAAACACAGCCAAGAAUUGCUUCAGCAAUAUUCCUUCAUAAAUCUGCAUAAUAAUCUCUCAGAGGGGCUUUGGUGAAAUUACAAGUAUUCAUUUACUAAAUUGGGUUCAGUGUCUGUAUCAUACGCUGUAUGAAUAUUCAGUGCCAUGAAUUCACUCAAACUACACUGAAGUUAGCAUGGUCCACAAACUAUCUCAGAUGAUAACUCAGGUAGAAAAGUCUUUCUUUAAAAAAAAAAAAUAUAUAUAUAUAUAUAUCUAUCCAUAAAGAAACUUUUCGCAACUAAGAAUAAUGGUAAUAAAAUCACAGGUUUUUUUUUUUUUUUUUUUUUUUUUGGUGGAGUUUCUGAUCUUAUAUCACUGAAUUCAACAACAACAUGCUAUUGCUAGAAAGGAACCAAAUAUGGUAACUGCCAUUCAGAUACAAGAAAACUCUGUUAUUGGGAGACUGAUAAUAGAAGCACUGGAUAUACAAUACUGUGACCUUCAUACAAAACUGUGUCUAUUCUUACACUCCUGAUAAAACUUUACAGAGAGUCAAAUUUUGUGCUGCGAGCUGAGAUAAACUAUAAUCUUGUGUAACUCUCCUGUGCUUCAUAUGCUCAAAUACAUGGAAAAAAAAAUGCAUAAAGUAAAUCCAGGAUAGCAAACAUCUGCAGGGUAAAAAUUCUCACCAUGGUGUGAAGCAGAUUGAACAUAGAUUACCUAUGCUCUCGCUGAGCCUUCUCAGCCUAUUCUAUUUACUCUUGGUCUGGUCUUGCCUGGGUAACCCAAGCUGUCCAUCCCUUCCCACCAAGGCAGUUGCUUUGAACAUAAGAUGCUGUAGCAAUUCUACCAAAAAAAUAAAAGGUAAAUCACAUCUUGGAUAUUUCUGAAGCUGUCUGUAGCAAACUGAGACAGAACCAAGAAGUCACUCAAGCCACAUAGAAGGUGGAGCACUUCAAAGGCAAGUUUUCAGUGGGUGGUGUCUGUGGGCCAAAAGGCACAAAAGUGAAAUGCGCUGCAGAAUGGUAAUUAUGACAAACUGCUCCAGUUCAUAGUGUAACUAUUCGAGGUAGCAUUUUUGUCAACAGCCAUUGCAAACAGAGCAGUAAACUUUCUCCUUUUCUUUGUUCUUUUAUUUUUUUUCCCCACUUGGCUGCUUUCCAGGUUUCAUUUACUUCCCCAUCUCACAUGACAUUGUGUUAUUCAUAUUCCCAACUCACCUAGAGUUUAAAGGGAGGUGAAUUCAAUGUUGAGUUCACAAAUCUGCACUACUUCUAGGGAUUGUGCUUGCAUCCUUUCCAAGGUAAAUUCUGUGAUUUAUACUGAAAUUGUGCCUCUCCCUUGGUAUUUCUGCUGGUUAUUCUUCACCUUCAUUCAUUUCAUGGCUUGUAUUUUCACCAAAGGUCCAAUUUUUGAGAUCAAAUAGAAGGAUGUUUUGAAGGAGUAUACACUUCAUUAUUACAGGAUAUUUAACCUUUAUAUCACUUUCUCCAUGAGAGGAUUCUGAUGCCAUGACUGCCAGUUUUGCCAAUUUUUCUAUCAAUCAAUUCAUUUCUAUGAAGUCAAGGUCUACCUGUAAUAUCUUGACAUGCAUAUUUGCUCAAUCUGCUUUCUGCCAGCAGAAUGGACAAAUACCACAAAAAGGGGUGCAAAAGUGACAUUGGAGCAACUUCCUCAUUCUUUAUCAAACUAAAAAGAAAAAAAAAAUGAAUGAUGGUAUCAAAGUCCUGCAUGGUCUCAAAGGAAUUUGUGAAUCAUGCAGGGAAAUGGACUUCUGGCUGGCUGUAGAGUGCUCCAGGAAUGAGCAUCAGGAGGAGCUGGAGAGCAGGAUCAGCUCAGGGCUGUGAUUUGGAGCACAGCACUAUUCUGAAGAUCAGCUGAGUUCAUUCUUCCACUGAGUGAGGGCGAAAUGGCGAAAGUUGGGCUCCAAGUCUACUACGGAAAAGGAAUUAAGUAAAAAAAAUGCAGUUUAUUACCUGGAAGUUUUCUUACACACACACACACAGAAUAAUAUCAUGAAGUCAAUAUGGCAGCUAGUAUGACUGAUUUCUUCUGUUACUGAAGAACAAUCACUGCCUGCUGGGAGAAUUAAGUUGAGCCAAUGACCAAACCUUUAGAGAGACACAGUCACAUGGAGGAAAUGUUAAUUAGUAAAGAAAGCACAUGCUGAUAAUUUUGAUUUUGAAUAAUCAUUCCUUCAGUUUUAAUCACUGUCAUCUCCAGAACUCCUCAUCUACUGCUGCACAAAGUCAGGAGAAACCCUUAAAUUCAGGUUGUUUGUAAAGCUACUGAACAGUUAAUGGAAAUUUCAGCACCCAGAAGCUGAAGAGAAGGAUGGAGCCUAGAGCUUCUUUGCAGGAUCCUUAUUUCCAAGUCACCUUGUGCUACCUUCUGCUUCCUCCUUGUUUUUUUUUUUUUGUUGUUGUUGUUUUGUGUUUUGUUUUGUUUUUCCUUCCCCCUCUUUUGGUAAAGAUAUCUAUGGACCUUAAACAUGAUAAAGGAAGUUGAAGGUCAUUCCACUAUUUCUUCAAACAAAUCUGGGGUUUUGUUACAAUUUAAAAGGAUACCAAGCUAUCAGGUUCUUUCCUCUGAAAGUCCUCCAGCUAAAGCUGGGUCACUUUCUCAGUGGCUGUACUUGCCAGGUUAGCAUUCAGAAAAAUCUUGAUGAACAGAGAUCCUUCUCACUGGUUGCUCUUCAUUCAUAGAUAAAUCCAUGAUCUUUUAUCAAAGCAAGUGAUGCCAAAUCAUCAUGGGCUAUAAAACACAUUCUUGUAUUCAAGAAGCAGAAACUGUAAGAAUACUUUAGAUUAUACAUCGUGGUACUACACUGUUGCUUAGCAAGGGCAUUGAUUAUGCUCAAGAGAAGUUUGAGGAACAGCUUUCUUUAGUCUCAAAUUUGCGACAGUUCCCCUUUGAGUUGGCAGUACAUUAAUGGAAAUGGAAACUUGCCUCAUUCUAAAUGUCAGAAUAAUAGAGCACCAAAAACAAUUCAGUCAUGUCUUUCAAACCACGCACAUAUGGUUCAGCACCAAAUGUCACUAUUCUUCCUCACUUCCUUUCCAUUUGUCACCAUCUCUGUUGAUUAUCAUUGUUUGGGUUAAAACUUUGAUGAAGACUCAGUGGGAAGCUCACCUUGACAGUAAUUAGAAACCUUUUGCCAGAUAUGUUUUAUUGCUUGAUGCAUUCUUAACACAGUAUUUUCAGAUGCAAUAGGUUUGAAAUAGUCACAUACUCCAGAAAAGUUUGAUCUGAUUCUUCCCUUUCUUUGAGAGCUUUUCUACCACCAUGCUGACUUCUGUAGGACAAGUUACACCAGCAAUACCCAGUGAAGUGGAAGGAACUUUUUUUCCCUGCAUUUUCUCUUGCCAAAUACAGAAAAACUGUAAAUUAGCUAGCAAUUACUCAGAUGUAAGAUCAGCUUUUUGAAAUAAUAGAAUCAUAGAGUUGCUCAGGUUGGAAAAGACCUUGAAGAACAUCAACUCCAACUGCAACCUAACCAAACUACCCUAACAACCCACUGCUGAAUCAUGUUCAUGAGCACCACAUCCAAACCAUUUUUAAACACAUUCAGGGAGAAAUCUUUUUCAUCCUUAUAAAUGCUGAGAUGCUUAACACCAAAAUAGAGUUUUCCUUAAGAAUGUACGCUGCUCUUAAGCCCUGCCUUUUUAAGCAUUGACCUUUUGUAUUUUUAAAAUGGUAACCUCAGAUAAUCACUAUUACAACAGUUAUGAUAUUGUCAAAUGCUAGUUGCUUCCCAGACUUACAGGAAGGUAAUUUUUCUGCCCUAAGAGCUUUCAGUCUUAAGGUAGAUGUAAAGCAACAGCUAAGACAGACAAAAGGUAGGGGAAACAAAGAUGAUGCACAAGCCAGAGUUAUAAAUACAGCAUGUAAAAAAAAAAAAAACUAUCUUAAGAGACUGAUAAAUCCUCAAAAAAAAAAAUCAAAUAUUCUAGAGCUGCAAAACACGCCAAUUAUGCAGUAUCUGACCACAUGAUUGCAUGUUGUUUUUUGUUUUUCCUUUUUCUUCCCAAAGUAUUUGGUCCCCAUUCAAUCAGCAGGAUGCAUCAAUUUGAUGAUUUUUCUGUGGCAAAGUGCUGGAACACAAAAGUAAUUGCCUCAAUUUUUUUUUUUUUAAUAUGGGGUAAAGGAGAUGUUUUCUUCUGUCUUCUUCCUGAUAAACGAACACAUUGAGUAAACUCAACUAGAAACAUAUAUUUGCAUUUAGAGGUUUUUGAAUGAUUGAAGCUUCAUCCAUGAAUAAGGGAGGGAAAACACAGUUGUACAAGAGCAAAUAUUCUUUCCUCUGAACACUAACUAUUCUCCCCUUCCCCCAAGUUUUAGAGCAGAAUGGAGGAUACCACUAGAGAUUACUUUACUAAUCCUUGCUUUUUCUUAGCUGCUUCUACCAGUGUGUUGCUGUCAGAUUCAGAAAAGACAGCUGAUACAAACAGGAAUGAGCAAGUGCAGCAAACCUGCUUAGCAUGAGCUGCAGCUCUGAGCUCAAAAUUGGUCUUCUCUGGAUAUCAGACACUUUGCUUCAAACUUCCAUUGGGAGAGUUUAUUUUCAUUUUCCCUUUCAUUUAGCUGUUCUCUUCUUAAUCCAAAGCAUGGCCUGAAAAAACUGCAUUGAAGGGUAUACCAACAACUAUAGAAAAAAAAACUAUUGAAUUCUUUCCUUUUCCAUUCUCACUCGCAUGUAUAAGGAUCAGAGAAUUUUAUGCAGAUCCAAACCAUGUGCAAAACCUUUCAAUUGAUGAGGAGAACGACAAAGUAUUGUCUGCUGUUGUUCCAACUAUGGCAUGACAUAAUGGAGGGAACAGGAUGAGAGUGAAAGUCUCAUUCCUGCAGUAGGGAGUAAGUGCUUGAGAAUGGGUAGAGUGGGUUAGGGUAGGUAAGACUGGGUCAGCCAGCUGCCAUGUCAUGUGAAUGUGUUGAGGUGGCCUAGAAAUUUCCUUCUGUGGAGGAAAGGCAGGGGAAAUAGUUAUGAUUAGUAUUUGCACAGACAUUUUCUUAUGACAGUCAAACAGUAUAAGGUCAUUUGAGUGAGGUAAUUUAUAAUUAAGAAACAUACACCCUCAUUGCAUUUCCAUCCUUCAGUGUGAAGAAUUUAGAUCAGCUGAGAAGCCAAGCCAUUGUUCUUAAAACAAAAUGUGGAAAGCAGCACUAUAGAAGUAGUCUUAUCAUAUAUUUCUGUUAAUGUGGCCAACUGAACAGAGCUUGUGAGUGAUCUAAUUAUGUUAAUCCAUUAUUCCAAACAGCAAUUUGUUCCAUUUUAAAAAAUGCAUGAAGAAUUAGUUCCCAACAGCCAUUUUUAAUGACUAUUCCCUUUCAUAAGGGAAAGUAUGUUAAUUUGUUUUUUUGUGUCAAAUAUUAACAGAAUUAUAAAUAAAAUCAAAAACACAGUGCUCCUCCUAGAAUUCAGUAGUUAAGCAUUCUUUUCUAGUCUAAGACUUCCUUUAUAUAUAGAGGUCUUUUACAUAAUUUGCAGACAUCCAAAGAACCUACGUAUUCCUUUAGCAACACGAGAGUCUCUAGUAGAAAUAAAAAUAAAGCUGAAAUAGUGCAUACUAAGUUCCUUAAAAUUCAGUGAGAGGUCUAUUGCAUUCUGCUGAGAAGGACUGUCAGAAGCUACAGCACAUGCAUCACAAAGCUUUUAAACAAAACAUCUUUCACUUCUCCAGGAAACAAAUAUCAGCUGUACUUCAAAAAUUACUUAACAAAGCUGUUUCAUGGCCACUGUAUAUCAGCACUUAUUGCUGUGUAAAUUAAAAUAGCUAAUCAAUUAAUACAGAAGUAAUUUUAUUACUAAAUGGAUAGAGGAGGUACAAAAAGCCCUAAUUAAAAGCAUUGUCUGUUCUGCUUCACACUAAUGAUUCUCUAAGAACCAAUGUUAUUUUUGAAUUAGCUUAAUCACAAAAGAAUUAAAGAGAACAAAAUUAUUUGUAUGAAAAUAGUGCACUAAAUGCACAGAGGCUAGACAGAAAAAGAAUCCAGAGUCAUUUCUAUCUUUGAUCAACUGGCUUGUCUAAUCCAUUUUACUGUGGAUAGUUGGCCUGACAUGACUUCAGAUUAGUUUAAUAGGGAUUAAAGUGGCAUGAAGUGUAUAAAUCUAUGAAUUUGCAAGUACAAACAUGUUUAGGAAUUCAUUUAUCUUUAAGGGCAGGAGGAAGGAAGGAAGUUCAAAGUAAAAUCUGGAUACAUUUGUAAACACAGAUAAUUCUGUGGGAAAUUUGGAAAACAACUGAAAACCAUGCAAUUUCAGCAGUGAAUCCUGAUGACUUUAGUCAGUUUCUUUGCACAAAAAAGCAAUUACUAAAGUCAAACAAGAAAGACCCCAAGAUGCAGUACAUGGAGAACUGAUGUAGAAGUCCUUAGGUAAACCUACAAGUCCUGUUGAUUACUGCCCAAAUAAAGCAGACCUCUGGCAUUCAGCUUCCUGAGCUGGCAUGUCAAGCGAAUAAUGUCUUUAGAGCUAGAGCUGCCAAGAGAAAGGGACCAGAGACAGCCAAAUUAUGAUAUCACACCAAUAAAACCUCAUCGUAGUGACAUACAUAAAACACUCUGUAAAUUGCUUUUUGUAACUUUUAAUUUAUUAAGAGCUUCUGAACUAUGUUUUCAUUCUGUGACAUGUUUUCAUUUACCUCUCAUAUCCUUCAUUAAUUUGUUUCCUGUUUGAGAAAUAAUACCACAUUUUUGGCAGUUUGAAACUGCUGAAAAAAUAUAUCAUACCAUACAUGAGUUAGCUUGCCAGAGAAUCAGGAGUGUGUGGUAUUUUGAAUUGCUAGGCUGAAUUACAGUGAAUUAUUUGACUAUUUGGUUUGCCUAUUAUCAAGGUUGAGUCAUGAGUGCUGUCUGUCAUGCUGCUGUUUGCUUAUCCCUAAACACAUACUCAUAACAGCUUCUGCAGCUGAAACGUGGGGCCUCUGAGAGUUUGGAGAUGCUGGAUUUAUCCUCUGGAGGGUGGUACAUGGACCGAUUUGCUGGGCGUCUGGGAGUGCUAAGUGAAAGAGAUCAGAGUUUUCUCCAGCAUUUCUGGGAAUAGUUGAGAUGUACUUUGAGCAGAUAUAGCUCAGAAUUCAAACAUUAUAGUCCUGCUCCCUUCCCCGUCACUGUGUUUCUUUGCCAUGAGUUUAUAAAGGUGACUCAGCCAUUCUGGGAAUGGGACCAAAGGCAUAAAUGGACAGAGUAAAACAUUAAAAUGACUAUAAUAUAGCAUCAUGUGGCGCUGACACCUCAGGUAGCCAUCCGUAAGUCAAUUUCGGAGGCAUUUAUGCUUCUUUAACAGCCUGCUCAGCCCAUUUUCCCAGCUACGCCUACACAAAUUUUGGUUCAGCCAUGAGCUGCAAAGUUUCUGAAGGAAGCCUAAACUCCUUCCCUAACACUCAUCUUUGCCCUCAUCCCUCAAAACUUCAUUUGCAUAUAUACCGUGACUGACUUUAUGAUCCACAAACUAAAAGGCAGUCCUGUAUCAAAGUAGUAGGUCCUAUAACUUCGAAGAGCAAAGCAGUGAAAUCUUAUUACAGGUAGAAUACACAACUAUUGAAAAUAUAUAGCACAUACAGUACCCUACAGUUACUGUACCUUUACAAUACU